rnacentral:rRNA from 1 species
AUACGAAGGGUGCAAGCGUUACUCGGAAUUACUGGGCGUAAAGCGUGCGUAGGUGGUUGUUUAAGUCUGUCGUGAAAGCCCUGGGCUCAACCUGGGAAUGGCGAUGGACACUGGGCGACUAGAGGGUGGCAGAGGGUAGUGGAAUUCCUGGUGUAGCAGUGAAAUGCGUAGAGAUCAGGAGGAACAUCCGUGGCGAAGGCGACUGCCUGGGCCAACACUGACACUGAGGCACGAAAGCGUGGGGAGCAAACAGGAUUAGAUACCCUGGUAGUCCACGCCCUAAACGAUGCGAACUGGAUGUUGGGUGCAAUUUGGCACGCAGUAUCGAAGCUAACGCGUUAAGUUCGCCGCCUGGGGAGUACGGUCGCAAGACUGAAACUCAAAUGAAUUGGCGGGG